AAAUGAAGUGAAAACAACAACACAUGUUGAGCAGCUGUUGGUGGUUAAAGAAGAGGUUCCCCCUGAGCAGCAGGAGUGUAGCUCCAGGGUGGACCAGCAGGAGCCAGAUUCCCCCCCACACAUUAAAGAGGAGCA